GGAAGUGAGAGAGAUCUGGUUGUGUCACCCCUUGGUCAAUCACCAGGGUUGAUUCCCCCAACCUGGUUGAGUAGACCAUUGUCCUCUUCCUCUAUCAUGGCUCUGUGUGAGUCACUCCCAAAGCUGUAUGCUCUGUGGAAGAGAACUGCCUUCUCCCAAAAGAAUGUUCUUCAAUAAUGACUGUGAGAAACUGUACUUCUCUACUAGACUCUCUAAACUAGCUAUCAAGGUCCAUUUGUAGGAGAAUGGGGAGUACUAAAGCUUCCCAGGAUCCAACCAUGUCCAAAUUAGUUACUGUAUGUGAGUUUGUCUUUUUUU
rnacentral:snRNA from 1 species